rfam:Oryza glumipatula chromosome 5, whole genome shotgun sequence.
AAAAAGACAAACCUGAUUUCCGUGUCCAAUAUUUGACCGUCCGUCUUAUUUAAAAAAAUACGAAAAAAUUAAAAAGAUAAGUCACGCAUAAAGUAUUAAUCAUGUUUUAUCAUCUAACAAAAAUGAAAAUAAUAAUUAUAAAAAAAUUUCAUAUAAGACGGACAGUCAAACAUUGCCACGGAAAACUAGAGUUUGCCUUUUU